CCGAGUAACGGUCGUAAGUCGCCGAUUCAGGUAUGGAAGUCGCCUAGUUAAGGGCUAACUCGGCGAGUUUCUAGGGUCAAGAUGUACAGUCUACCAUACUGCCGAUCUUGCCUUAACUCGGCGAGUUAUCCUGUAUGUCGGCGACUUGGUAGUCCAAUCGGGCGACUUUACGGGCUAACUCGGCGAUCUGGACGAUGAACGUGUUCCGCACCGUGGGAGCUCUCCGGGGGUCCUGCCAUAGCG
rnacentral:lncRNA from 1 species